rnacentral:snRNA from 1 species
AUCGCUUCUCGGCCUUUUGGCCAAGGUCAAGGGCAGUAUCUGUUCUUAUCAGUUUAACACAGGUGAAGAGAAAGCACGUAAUGAAAGGUGAAGGAAGAAACUCUGAAAAGGUCCUUUUCAAGAACUUGGAAACCUACGACUUCUCUUUCAUGUGUGAGGAGAAAUGUAUUGCUUUUACAGUUAAGAGGUAGCUUUCAGUUUUAGUUGAAUUUAA